CUUUCACAUGGCGCAAAUAUAGAAGCAAUAAACAAGGAUCACCUCACUCCACUUUUACUUGCUGUGAGUGGAAAAAAAGAGGAAAUGGUAGAAUUUUUGGUAAAGAAGAAUGCAAAUGUAAAUGCAGUCGAUAAAAUGAACAGAACAGCCCUCGUGCUUGCUGCACAUUGUAAAUCACCAAGUAUAGUCACUCUUCUUCUUGAGCAAGAUACUGAUGUUUUUCAUGAAGAUAUCUUUGGAUGGGCUGCAAAAGAUUAUCCCACUGCUAGUGGUUUACAUAAUAUUCACCACCAAACUUCAGAAUAUAAAGAAGAAAAGAUACCUGACAACGCUUCUCAAAAUAACAAUGCAG